AUGCUUCCUCAAAGUCAAUCCAUUAACCCCCAACUCAUAUAAACACAAAAAGGGCAUAAAUGCCUACAAAAGAUAACGAAACAGGGAUAUAAUUUUUAGGGAAAAGGGGAAAUAACAUGAAAGAAGAUAAGUUCCCGCGCAGGGGAGAAUAGAAAAGCUAGCUACUGGAGGAUUCUUCGUCUGUUUUUGCCUUCUUUGCCUUGUUUACCUCAUGUGCUAUUUGAUACCUAUUGAUGAUAAGGUGACUCCCAUAUAAUUGUGCCUUGCAGUCGUAAGUCAUUUCUCCUAUGCUGUCGAGUUGGGAGGCCAUGCUAUCGUCCAAAUCGAUUAUGCACUGCCUGGCAUCAUCAGCGUCUUGCCUAGCUCUUUUCAACUCUUCCCUCAAUGUAUGUAUGGUCAAAGCGUCUUCCAUGUGCAUCUGUCGGUGCGCAAUUUCACUUUUCUGGAACUCAUCUUAUAGCAUGUGAAGCAGAAUUUGAUGCUCGGAUUCUACAUCCACAACUCGAGUGGGCACAUCUGGUCCCGGAUUCAAUGCUCCAGCGAGGCUCUUUUUCAAUCACUCCUUGUAAGUGUCGCUGAAUUCAGGUUCAUACCCUAUACGGAAAGAGA
rnacentral:lncRNA from 1 species